CAAUAGCGUAUAUUAAAGUUGUUGCAGUUAAAAAGCUCGUAGUUGGAUUUCUGGGGAGGUGCCAAUGUCACCUUUGUGUUGCGCAGCGGCGCCUCUCCAUCCUUCUGUUAACGUCGUUGCUCCUUAAUCGGUGUGCGGCGGGCUCAGAUAUUUUACCUUGAGAAAAUUAGAGUGUUUCAGGCAGGCCAGGCCGGAAUACAUUAGCAUGGAAUAAUGGAAUAGGACUUUAGUCUCUUUGUUGGUUUGGGGGACUGCAGUAAUGAUUAAUAGGGAUAGUUGGGGGCAUUAAUACUUAACUGUCAGAGGUGGAAUUCUCAGAUUUGUUAAAGAUUAACUUAUGCGAAAGCAUUUGCCAAGGAUGUUUUCAUUAAUCAAGAACGAAAGUUAGGGGAU
rnacentral:rRNA from 1 species